rnacentral:rRNA from 1 species
UAUGUAGGGUGCGAGCGUUGUCCGGAAUUAUUGGGCGUAAAGAGCUCGUAGGCGGUUUGUCACGUCUGCUGUGAAAUCCCGAGGCUCAACCUCGGGCCUGCAGUGGGUACGGGCAGACUGGAGUGCGGUAGGGGAGAAUGGAAUUCCUGGUGUAGCGGUGGAAUGCGCAGAUAUCAGGAGGAACACCGAUGGCGAAGGCAGUUCUCUGGGCCGUAACUGACGCUGAGGAGCGAAAGCGUGGGGAGCGAACAGG